rnacentral:lncRNA from 1 species
CCUCCUGAGGUAAUUUAUCAGUUGUCUCAUAAUUGAUGAUUGGGUGCUUGAGGGGUGCCACAUUGAAUUUACAGUAAUCCAUUCAUCAGUUGCCACGUGUACAAACUAGGCCCCACACUGACUUCAUCAGACUCCUUUUUGUUUCCUCAUAGCUCCCGUUCCUCCCUCAAGUCAUCUCUCACUUUGUUUCUUCUUCUUCUUCUGUAUUCAAAUCCUAAAUCUCGACCCAACUUCAAAUCUCUUCUCUCUCUUCUCCUUUUUCAUUUCUUCACAGCUUCCUUUUUUCUUCGCACGUCUCUCGUUUGCUGACGAUUCCAUCAUCAAUCUUGCCCUCGAUACCCUUGCCGCCACGCGAUCCUUCAG